rnacentral:rRNA from 1 species
UACGAAGGGGGCGAGCGUUGUUCGGAGUUACUGGGCGUAAAGGGCGCGUAGGCGGCGAUCCAAGUUAGGCGUGAAAGCCCCGGGCUCAACCUGGGAAUAGCGCUUAAGACUGGGUUGCUCGAGUGCGGGAGAGGUGAGUGGAAUUCCCAGUGUAGAGGUGAAAUUCGUAGAUAUUGGGAGGAACACCAGUGGCGAAGGCGGGUCUCUGGGCCGUAACUGACGCUGAGGAGCGAAAGCAUGGGGAGCGAACAGG